rnacentral:rRNA from 1 species
AUGAACGCUAGCUACAGGCUUAACACAUGCAAGUCGAGGGGCAGCAUGAACUUAGCUUGCUAAGUUUGAUGGCGACCGGCGCACGGGUGAGUAACACGUAUCCAACCUGCCGAUGACUCGGGGAUAGCCUUUCGAAAGAAAGAUUAAUACCCGAUGGCAUAGUUCUUCCGCAUGGUAGAACUAUUAAAGAAUUUCGGUCAUCGAUGGGGAUGCGUUCCAUUAGGUUGUUGGCGGGGUAACGGCCCACCAAGCCUUCGAUGGAUAGGGGUUCUGAGAGGAAGGUCCCCCACAUUGGAACUGAGACACGGUCCAAACUCCUACGGGAGGCAGCAGUGAGGAAUAUUGGUCAAUGGACGAGAGUCUGAACCAGCCAAGUAGCGUGAAGGAUGACUGCCCUAUGGGUUGUAAACUUCUUUUAUACGGGAAUAAAGUGAGGCACGUGUGCCUUUUUGUAUGUACCGUAUGAAUAAGGAUCGGCUAACUCCGUGCCAGCAGCCGCGGUAAUACGGAGGAUCCGAGCGUUAUCCGGAUUUAUUGGGUUUAAAGGGAGCGUAGGCGGACGCUUAAGUCAGUUGUGAAAGUUUGCGGCUCAACCGUAAAAUUGCAGUUGAUACUGGGUGUCUUGAGUACAGUAGAGGCAGGCGGAAUUCGUGGUGUAGCGGUGAAAUGCUUAGAUAUCACGAAGAACUCCGAUUGCGAAGGCAGCUUGCUGGACUGUAACUGACGCUGAUGCUCGAAAGUGUGGGUAUCAAACAGGAUUAGAUACCCUGGUAGUCCACACAGUAAACGAUGAAUACUCGCUGUUUGCGAUAUACAGUAAGCGGCCAAGCGAAAGCGUUAAGUAUUCCACCUGGGGAGUACGCCGGCAACGGUGAAACUCAAAGGAAUUGACGGGGGCCCGCACAAGCAGUGGAGUAUGUGGUUUAAUUCGAAGCAACGCGAAGAACCUUACCAGGGCUUGACAUAUACAGGAAUACUUAAGGAAACUUAGGUAGCUUUUCGGAGUCUGUAAACAGGUGGUGCAUGGUUGUCGUCAGCUCGUGCCGUGAGGUGUCGGCUUAAGUGCCAUAACGAGCGCAACCCUUAUCGAUAGUUACCAUCAGGUUAUGCUGGGGACUCUGUCGAGACUGCCGUCGUAAGAUGUGAGGAAGGUGGGGAUGACGUCAAAUCAGCACGGCCCUUACGUCCGGGGCUACACACGUGUUACAAUGGGGGGUACAGAAGGCAGCUACACGGCGACGUGAUGCUAAUCCCGAAAGCCUCUCUCAGUUCGGAUUGGAGUCUGCAACCCGACUCCAUGAAGCUGGAUUCGCUAGUAAUCGCGCAUCAGCCACGGCGCGGUGAAUACGUUCCCGGGCCUUGUACACACCGCCCGUCAAGCCAUGAAAGCCGGGGGUACCUGAAGUGCGUAACCGCAAGGAGCGCCCUAGGGUAAAACUGGUGAUUGGGGCU